CUGCCAAUCCCAGCUGCCCUGGGGAAGAGCCCAUUGGGUUCUCAGCAUCCUGGCUAGCCGUUCCCACCCUUGGGGGGUUCUGCACUCCUGUGCUAUAGCUUCCCAGUACUCUCAGCCCCUGCAAGAGCCCCCAUCACCCAGAGAGCUAGAACAAACUUGGCCUGGCUGUGCAAAAUCUGCCUCCAUUCUGAGAUGGUCCUCCCAAUUCAGCUGCCCUGGGGAAGUGCCCCUUGGUUCUUCAGUGACCCAGCUAGCCACACCCACAUUCAGGGGGUGCUGCAAUCCUGAGGAAGAACUGGCCCACACGGACAGCCCCCUGCAAGAGCCCCCACAGCCCAGAAAAGCUAGAAAAGCUCAGCCCAGCCAUGCAAAAUCUUCCUCCAUUCCGAGGAGGUCCUGCUAAUUCAGCUGACCUGGGGAAGAGCCCCUUGGUUUCUCAGCAGCCCAGCUAGCUGAUCUCACCCUUGGGGGUUCUGCACUCCUGUGGAACUGCUACUGAACACUGCCAGCCACCUGCAAGAGCCCCUAUAGCCCACAAAAUCUAGACCAAGCUCGUCUUGGAUGUGCAAAAUCUGCCUCUAUUCUGAGGUGGUCCUGCCAAUUCAGAGGACCUGGGUAAGAGCCCCUUGGGUUCUUAGCGGCCCAGCAAACUGCUCCCACCCUCAUGGGUGCGGCACCAUUUUGGAACAGCCGCUCAGCACCACCAGCUGCCUGGAAGAGCCCACAGCCCAAAAACAUCAGAGGGACCUACCAAGCCAUGUGAAAUCUGCUUCAAUUGUGGUACAGAGCUCCAAGUCAUGUGUGCCAUCAGGAAGUCCUCCUUUGCUUCAGAGAGACCCUGUCAGCCCUGCCCAACCUGAGGAAAAGCCAUGUGGCUUCAAACACCAACCAUGCCAGCCCUUGGGAAGCAUUCCAAAGCAGUGCCAAGGCAAACCCUUUCCAGCCACGGGGAGUCAAACAGUACCUAGAAAAUGAAAACAAAAAGCAAGAUGAAAAAGCUGAGAAACCACCUGCAGUUAAACCAACAGGAGAACUCACCUAAAGCAAUCAACAAGGAAAUAAACCUCUGCAGUCUGACAAACUUGUAUUUCAAAAGAGAAAUAGUGAAAAUACUGAAGGAAUGAAGACAAGAUAUGAACCAGUAAUGCAGAUGUCCUCAGAAUGGAACUAGAAAAUAUAAGGAGGAGUCAAGAAAAUUACAAACUUCGUUGGCAGAGAUACAGACUGAACUAAGGGCAGUGAAAACCAGGAUGAACAAUGCAGAAGAACAAAUUAGUGAUGUGGGAGAUAGAAUAAUGGAAAUCCCACAAUCAGGUCAGUGGACAGAAAAAAAAUCAAAAAAGAGGAAAGCCAAUACAGGAGACUUAUUGGAAAAUAUAAAGAGGGCCAAUCUAUACAUCAUAGGAAUUCCACAGGGAGUAGAAAAAGAUAAGGGGAUGGAAUAUAUAUUUGAAGAAAUUAUCGUUGGAAAAUUCCCAAACCUAAAGGAUACUGAAUUCAAGAUACAGGAAGCAGACAGGGCUGCAAAAUAGUUGAACCCAAAUAGACCCACACCAAGACACAAUUUAGGAAAAAUGGCAAAAGUUAGUAAUAAAGAGAGGAUCCUAAAGGCAGUAAGGGAAAAGCAGAAUGUUACCUAUGGGGGGGGCAAUAUUUUCACAUACAUCAAGCAAUAUUGCAAAGCCACAGUCAUCAAAAUAGUGUGGUAUUAGUAUCAAAACAGACGGACAGACACAUGGAACAGAAUAGAGAACCUGGAAAUAAACCCUGACACCUAUGGGCAAUUCAUCUUUGACAAGGGAGACAAGAACAUCAAAUGGGAAAAAGAAAGUCUAUUCAGCAAGCAUUGCUGGCAAAGCUGGACAGCUGCAUGCAAAUCAGUGAAACGAGAACACACCCUCACACCAUGCACCAAAAUAAACUCCAAAAUGGCUGACAGACUAAAAUAGAAGAGAGGACACCAUCAAAUUCCUAGAAGAAAAACACUCUCUGACAUCAACCUCAUGAAUAUUUUCUCAGCUCAUUCUCCCAAGGCAACAGAAAUAAGAGCAGAAUUAACCCAAAGGGCCCUAACCAAACUCUUUGUUUACUUCUUUAUUGGCUGCUCCAUGGGUUUAGAGUACAGGAAAAGUGAUUUUACUCUCACCCUGAAACUUCCUGAGCCUGGUACUGAAAUGAGGAUCUUUACACCAGUUACUGUCUCAUCACUCUCCUGGCCUCCUCUUUUCACCUUGCUGAGUUACCUCUUCGUUUGUAGAGUCCCCUUCCCAUCCACAGUCUCUCUGCAAGUUAAACUGUACACAUCUGGAUAAAUAUAACUAAAGACAGAACCUAUAUGGAAGAUGGCGGAAUAGAAGGACUGGUGUUCAACUUAUCUCCUAAAAACAACAAAGUUCACAACUAAAGACUGAGCAUUCUUCACCCAAAUGGGCUGGAAACCUUAAAAAAGACGUCCUACUCCAGAAGAAAAAGAGGAGGCCACAUCAAGAGGUAGGAGGGGCAAUUUCAUGAUAUAAACAACCCCAUACCUCCCGGGGGGGGGGGGUGGAAGCUCCACAGACUGGAAACUAACCGGCCCACAGAGACUCACCUACAGGAGAGAGAGUUCUGAGCCCCACAUCAAACUCUGCCAUGUGGGGAUCUGGCACGGGGAGAAAGAGCCCCUGGAGUAUCUGGCAUUGAAGGCCAGUGGGGCUUGUGUGCAGGAGCUCCACAGAACUGCGGGAAGCAGAGACCCCAUUCUUCAAAGGCGCACACAAACUUCCACAUGCACUGGGUCCCAGGGCAAAGCAGAGUCUCCAUGGGAGUCUGGGUCAACAUUGACCACAGUCCUUGGAGGACAUCCUGGGAAAUCAGGGGUGAACGUGGCUUAUUGUGAGGGAAGGACAUUGAAAGCAAAGCUCUUGGGAAUAUUCAGCAGCCACACGUUUCUCUGGAGGUGGCCAUUUGGGGAAAAUGCCAGGCCCCACCAGUCAGUCAGCUGCUGAGAGGCCCCAGGACAAACAACAACGCAGGUGGGAUCACAGCCCUGCCCCUCAGUAAACAGCCUACCUAAAGACCCCUCAGGCACACAGCUGCCUCUAAUCCCAUCCAGAGACUAAGCCCCACCCACCAGAGGGGUUAGAAUCGGCUCCACCUACCAGGGGGCAGGCAUCAGCCCCUUCCAUCAGAAAGCCUACAGCAAGCACCCAAACUGACUCCAGCCACAGGGGGGCAGACAUAGAAGUAAGAGAGGCUACAACUCUGUUAUCUAUAAGAAGGUCACCACACCAAAAACCUAUAAACAUGAAAAGACAGAGAACUAUAACUCAGAUGAGGGAGAAAGGAAAAACCCCAGAAAAUCAGCUAGGCCAUGAGGAGAAUCUCAGCCUCCAGGAAAAAGACUUUAGACAGUUGAUGCUGGAGAUGAUGCAAGACAUUGGAAAUAAACUGGAGGUCAAGAUGGAUAACUUACAGGAACCACUGCCCAAAGAGAUGCAAGAUAUAAAUCUUAAACAAGAAGAGAUGCAAAAUACAACGCCUGAAAUAAAAAAUUCACUCGAAGCAGCUAACAGCAGAAUCCUGGAGGCCGAAGAAUGAAUAAGAGAGGUGGAGGACAGAUCAUUGGAAAUUACGGAUGUAGAACAGAAAAGAGAAAAAAGAUUGAAAACAAACGAAGAGAGUCUCAGAGAACUCUGGGACAACAUUAGAGGCACCAACAUCCCUAUUAGAGGGGUGCCAGAAGGAGAAGAGAGAGAGAAGGCGACAGAAAAAAAUAUUCCAAGAGAUAAUAGCCAAAACCUCCGCUAACAUGGGGAAGGAAUCGCUCACUCAAAUCCAGGAAGCACAACGAGUACUAUAUAAAAUAAACACAAGGAGGCACACCCCAAGACACAUAUCAAUCAAACUGACCCAAAUUAAAGACAAAGAGAAAAUCUUGACAGCAGCUAGGGAAAAGAAACAAAUAACAUACAGGGAAACCCAACAAGGGUAUCGGCAGAGUUUUCAACAGAAACUCUGCAGGCCCAGAAGGGAGUGGCACGAUAGACUUAACAUGAUGAAAGGAAAAAUCCUCCAACCAAGAUUCCUCUACCCAUCAAGGCUCUCGCUCAGAUUUGAAGAAGAUAGCAAAACCUUCACAGAUAAGCCAAAGCUGAGAGAAUUCAGGGACACGAAACCAGCCUUACAACAAACACUAGAGGAAAUUCUAUAGGCGGAAAAGAACAAGAGAAGACGGGAAGAAAAAAGAGCAGCAAAAACAAAUCCAUAGUGAUAAAUAAAAAGGCAAUAAGAACAUACAUAUCAAUAAUCACCUGUAAUGUGAAUGGACUAAAUCCCCCAGCCAAAAGACGUAGACAGGCUGAAUGGAUACAAAAACAAGACCCGUACAUAUGCUGUCUUCAAGAGACCCAUAGGGACACAUACAAAUUGAAAGGGAGAGGAUGGAAGAAACUAUUUCAUGCAAACAGGGAUCAACAGAAAGCUGGAGGAGCAAGACUCAUAUCAGACUUUAAAAUGAAGAAUACUUUCAGGGACAAAGAAGGCCAAUUACAUAAUGACCAAAGGAUCAAUCCAUGAAGAUGAUAUAACAAUUUUAAAUAUCUAUGCACCCAACGCAGGUUCACCGCUAUAUAUAAGGCAACUGCUAACAACCAUAAAAGGAUAAACGCUCAAUAACACAAUCAUCGUGGGGGACUUGAACACCCCACAUACAGCAAUGCACAGAUCAACCAGACAGAAAAUCAAUAAGGAAACACAAGUCCUGAAUGAUGCAUUAAACCAGAUGGACUUAAGGAUAUUUAUAGGACAUUUUAUCCAAAAGCAACGGAAUACACAUUCUUCUCAAGUGCACAUGGGACAGUCUCUAAGAUGGAUCACAUCCUGGGCUACAAAUCCAACCUCGGUAACUUCAAGAAAAUCGAAAUCACAUCAAGCAUCCUUUCCGAAAACAACGCUAUACGGCCGGAAAUCAACAACAAGCAAAAAACUGCAAAAAACGAAAACACAUGGAGGCGAAACAACAUGCUACUCAACAAGCAAUGGAUCACUGAAGCAAUCGAAGAGGAAAUUAAAAAUUACCUGGCAGCAAAUGACAACAAGAUACAACACUCCAAAACCCUUGGGAUGCAGCAAAAGCCGUUCUAAGAGGAAAGUUUAUAUCCAAACAAGCCCACCUCAGGAAACAAGAAAAAGCUCAAAUAAACAAGAUAGCUCUACAUCUGAAGCAGCUAGAGCAAGAAGAACAGACAAGACCUAAAGUUAGUAGAGGGAAGGAAAUCAUAAAGAGCAGAGCAGAAAUCAAUGACAUAGAAACAAAGAAACCCAUCGAAAAGACGAAUGAAACGAAAAGCUGGCUCUUUGAAAAGAUCAACAAAAUUGAUAAACCCCUAGCCAGACUUAUCAAGCAAAAAAAAAAAGAGAGGACUCAAAUUAAUCAAAUUAGAAAUGAAAACGGAGAAGUAACACGGACAUCACAGAAAUACAAAGGAUCCUAAGAGACUACUAUCUGCAACUAUAUGCCAAUAAAAUGGAAAAACUAGAAGAAAUGGGAAAAUUCUUACAUAAGUACGAUCUUCCAAGACUAAACCAAGAUGAAGUAGAAAAGACAAUUGGACCAAUCGCAAGAACUGAAAUUGAAACGGUGAUUUAAAAACUUCCAACCAACCAAAGUCCAGGGCCAGAUGGCUUCAAAGACGAAUUCUAUCAAACAUUUAGAGAAGAGCUAACACCUCUCCUUCUGAAUCUAUUUCCAAAAAUUCCAGAAGAAGGGAUACUCCCAAACUCAUUCUAUCAGGCCACUAUCACCCUGAUAACACAACCAGACAAAGACACCACAAAAAAAGACAACUACACGCCAAUUUCACUGAUGAACAUCAAUGCAAAAAUCCUCCACAACAUACUAGCAAGCCGCAUCCAACAAUACAUUCAAAGGAUUGGACAUCAUGAUCAAUAAUCAUGAUCAUGCAUCCCUGGGAUAAAUCCCUGGGAUUUAUCCCAGGGAUGCAAGGGCUCCUCAAUAUCCUCAAAUCCAUCAGGUGAUACACCACAUUCACAAACGGAAGAAGAAAAACCAUAUGAUCCUCCCAAUAGAUGUCGAAAUAAAGCCUUUGACAAAAUCCAACACCCAUUUCUGAUAAAAAAAAAACCCUUCAGAAAGUGGGCAUAACAGGAACCUACCUCAACAUGAUAAAGGCCAUAUAUGACAAACCCACAGCAAACAUCAUUCUCAAUGGCGAAAAGCUGAAAGAAUUCCCGUGGAGAUCAGGAACAAGACAAGGAUGUCCACUCUCGCCACUACUCUUCAACAUUGUUCAGGAAGGCCUAGCCACAGCCAUCAGAGAAGUAAAAGAAAUAAAAGGAAUCCAAAUUGGAAAGGAAGAAGUGGAACUAUCCCUAUUUGCAGAUGACAUGAUACUAUACCUAGAGAAUCCUCAAGACUCUACCAGAAAACUGUUAGAGCUCAUCCACCAAAUUGGCAAAGUCGCAGGAUACAAAAUCAAUACACAGAAAUCAAUGGCAUUUCUAUACACUAACAAUGAAAGAGCAGAAAGAGAAAUUAGGGAAGCAAUCCCGUUUACCAUUGUAUCCA
rnacentral:lncRNA from 1 species